GACGAACGCUGGCGGCGUGCUUAACACAUGCAAGUGGAGCGACGAACCGGGGCUUGCCCCGGGGCAGAGCCGCGAACGGGUGAGUAACACGUGGGUAACCCACCUCGAUGACUGGGACAACCCGAGGAAACUCGGGCUAAUACCAGAUGUGAUCCUUUUCCGUAAGGAAAAUGAUGAAAGAUAGCUUCGGCCUUCGCAUCGAGACGGGCCCGCGGCCCAUUAGCUUGUUGGUGGGGUAACGGCCUACCAAGGCAUCGAUGGGUAGCUGGUCUGAGAGGACGAUCAGCCACACUGGGACUGAGACACGGCCCAGACUCCUACGGGAGGCAGCAGUGGGGAAUCUUGCACAAUGCGCGAAAGCGUGAUGCAGCAACGCCGCGUGGGGGAAGACGGCCU
rnacentral:rRNA from 1 species